CAGCAGUGGGGAUAUUGCACAAUGGGGGAAACCCUGAUGCAGCCAUGCCGCGUGUGUGAAGAAGGCCUUCGGGUUGUAAAGCACUUUCAGUAGGGAGGAAAGGUAGCAGCUUAAUACGCUGUUGCUGUGACGUUACCUACAGAAGAAGGACCGGCUAACUCCGUGCCAGCAGCCGCGGUAAUACGGAGGGUCCGAGCGUUAAUCGGAAUUACUGGGCGUAAAGCGUGCGCAGGCGGUUUGUUAAGCGAGAUGUGAAAGCCCCGGGCUCAACCUGGGAAUUGCAUUUCGAACUGGCGAACUAGAGUCUUGUAGAGGGGGGUAGAAUUCCAGGUGUAGCGGUGAAAUGCGUAGAGAUCUGGAGGAAUACCGGUGGCGAAGGCGGCCCCCUGGACAAAGACUGACGCUCAGGCACGAAAGCGUGGGGAGCAAACAGGAUUAGAUACCCUGGUAGUCCACGCCGUAAACGAUGUCUACUCGGAGUUUGGUGUCUUGAACACUGGGCUCUCAAGCUAACGCAUUAAGUAGACCGCCUGGGGAGUACGGCCGCAAGGUUAAAACUCAAAUGAAUUGACGGGGCCCCC
rnacentral:rRNA from 1 species